rnacentral:rRNA from 1 species
GCGGCGUGCCUAAUACAUGCAAGUAGAACGCUGAAGAGAGGAGCUUGCUCUUCUUGGAUGAGUUGCGAACGGGUGAGUAACGCGUAGGUAACCUGCCUUGUAGCGGGGGAUAACUAUUGGAAACGAUAGCUAAUACCGCAUAACAAUGGAUGACACAUGUCAUUUAUUUGAAAGGGGCAAUUGCUCCACUACAAGAUGGACCUGCGUUGUAUUAGCUAGUAGGUGAGGUAACGGCUCACCUAGGCGACGAUACAUAGCCGACCUGAGAGGGUGAUCGGCCACACUGGGACUGAGACACGGCCCAGACUCCUACGGGAGGCAGCAGUAGGGAAUCUUCGGCAAUGGGGGCAACCCUGACCGAGCAACGCCGCGUGAGUGAAGAAGGUUUUCGGAUCGUAAAGCUCUGUUGUAAGUCAAGAACGAGUGUGAGAGUGGAAAGUUCACACUGUGACGGUAGCUUACCAGAAAGGGACGGCUAACUACGUGCCAGCAGCCGCGGUAAUACGUAGGUCCCGAGCGUUGUCCGGAUUUAUUGGGCGUAAAGCGAGCGCAGGCGGUUUGAUAAGUCUGAAGUUAAAGGCUGUGGCUCAACCAUAGUUCGCUUUGGAAACUGUCAAACUUGAGUGCAGAAGGGGAGAGUGGAAUUCCAUGUGUAGCGGUGAAAUGCGUAGAUAUAUGGAGGAACACCGGUGGCGAAAGCGGCUCUCUGGUCUGUAACUGACGCUGAGGCUCGAAAGCGUGGGGAGCGAACAGGAUUAGAUACCCUGGUAGUCCACGCCGUAAACGAUGAGUGCUAGGUGUUGGAUCCUUUCCGGGAUUCAGUGCCGCAGCUAACGCAUUAAGCACUCCGCCUGGGGAGUACGACCGCAAGGUUGAAACUCAAAGGAAUUGACGGGGGCCCGCACAAGCGGUGGAGCAUGUGGUUUAAUUCGAAGCAACGCGAAGAACCUUACCAGGUCUUGACAUCCCGAUGCUAUUUCUAGAGAUAGAAAGUUACUUCGGUACAUCGGUGACAGGUGGUGCAUGGUUGUCGUCAGCUCGUGUCGUGAGAUGUUGGGUUAAGUCCCGCAACGAGCGCAACCCCUAUUGUUAGUUGCCAUCAUUCAGUUGGGCACUCUAGCGAGACUGCCGGUAAUAAACCGGAGGAAGGUGGGGAUGACGUCAAAUCAUCAUGCCCCUUAUGACCUGGGCUACACACGUGCUACAAUGGUUGGUACAACGAGUUGCGAGUCGGUGACGGCAAGCUAAUCUCUUAAAGCCAAUCUCAGUUCGGAUUGUAGGCUGCAACUCGCCUACAUGAAGUCGGAAUCGCUAGUAAUCGCGGAUCAGCACGCCGCGGUGAAUACGUUCCCGGGCCUUGUACACACCGCCCGUCACACCACGAGAGUUUGUAACACCCGAAGUCGGUGAGGUAACCUUUUGGAGCCAGCCGCCUAAGGUGGGAUAGAUGAUUGGGGUG